GAAAGACAAAUCAGUGGCAUGAGAGUGCACUUUAACAACAACAACAACGACGACGACACACAGCGAAGCAAGACGGCACAUCUUUUGACUACAUUGUUCGUUUGUUUCCCCGUGAUGGAAUAGUGGAUUCUUCUUUUUUUUUAAGAAAAGGAGAGGGGAAAAAAUCCCCCAAAGCUCCGUCCUGUGCGCCUCCUGCUUCUCCUCAUCUUUCUCCACCACAGAAAAGACUCAGGUUUUCCAUGACCGUACGAACCCUGCUCUGUGGUCGCCUCUCGCCGCCAACGGCGGGACGUUACAGUCGGUGGAAGGAGGAAGAACAACAGGCGUUUGCAGCUGCUCCCCAAAGACGGCGGGAGCAUCGGCGAGAACCGCGGGCGUCUUUCUGCAUCGCCAACUCAGACUGAGAUGUGAGUGCCUCAUCCACCAUCCAGCCAGUGGCCUCUCAGUGGGACCGGGAGUGAGAAACCAGAUGCCGAGGGCCACAGAUGGUCGAAACAAAUGCAGGUAAACUAUUUCUCCAAUGCAGAGCGGGGGCCAUUCCUCUGGUGCUUAAUGAGCUGUACUCUCAUUCACAGGUCAUCCAUUUGCACCUGCAAUAACCAGCGUCUUCCUCCAACAGUUUACGGAGGCUUUGAAAUAGGAGGGAGGACGCCAUCGCGUCCGUUUUGCCACGACGCUCUCCUCUCCUCGGUCCCGGGGCGAGCGUUGACACGUCGUCGCCGUGGCAACGCUAGACAGCCGCCGCAUCCUCCGUAACACGGUCCUGGAGGACUCCUCUUAUGUCACACAUGAGACUUGACGGCUGCGCCGGUGAUUCAGUCCUUGGCUUUAAAUGACCGCGUACACAGUGCCAGCUUGGCGCUCAUUUCUUUGGCCCCGACUCCGGUCUACAGCCAUCCGUCCCGACCCCUUUCUGAUGGCUCACCAUAACUCCAUGUGGUGGUGGAGAUGAAAGAACAGCAGCAGAGAACGGGAAAAAAAAAAUCAAGAAAAACAAGGAUCGCAGGGAAGAAAAGAGGACAAAGACGAGGAGCAGAA